AUUGAACGCUGGCGGCAGGCCUAACACAUGCAAGUCGAGCGAGCGGCGGACGGGUGAGUAAAGUCUGGGGAACUGCCUGCUGGAGGGGGAUAACUACUGGAAACGGUAGCUAAUAUCGCAUACCAUCAGAUGUGCCCAGAUGGGCUGAGGUAGUAGGUGUGGUAACGGCUCACCUAGGCGACGAUCCCUAGCUGUGCUGGGAGGAUGACCAGCCACACUGGAACUGAGACACGGUCCAGACUCCUACGGGAGGCAGCAGUGGGGAAUAUUGAACAAUGGGCGCAAGCCUGAUGCAGCCAUGCCGCGUGUGUGAAGAAGGCCUUCGGGUUGUAAAGCACUUUCAGCGGGGAGGCGUUACCCGCAGAAGAAGCACCGGCUAACUCCGUGCCAGCAGCCGCGGUAAUAC
rnacentral:rRNA from 1 species